GAGUGGGGGGACCGUAUUGGCCGAGCGCCUGCUCUGUGCCGGCCCCGGGUCAAGGGCGGGGGGUCCUGGCCGGGAGAGACGUGGACAGUGGGGGAGUCGUGACACGCCAGCAAAGGAGAGAAUCGGGGUGCCCGUAAGUUCUGCGGAGAUGAAAGAGGUGACGAGGUGGAAGGGGCGGGCUGGGGCGCCCGAGGGAGUUGAGGGGGAAGGAUCCAGUCAGCUACGAGCCGCAGGUGGCGUCGAGGCCUUGGAAGGUUGACCCGUUGGGCCUGAGACGAUGUAAGUGUGAGCUGCACAGCCUGGAUUUGGAAGAUUUGGGAUGCAAACGCUCUCAUGAGUGACUUCUCUAGACCUGUUUACUCAGCAGCCGUCCUUUCUGCCCAACACCUUGCUCAUUUUGUGGACAGCUUUCCAGCCCCUGCUAAUGCAGCGACGGAGUAUGAAGUCGCAUAAGACCCGAUGGAGGACUCAACCAGCUGUCUUACACGGUGGUUGUGAGGAUGACGUGAGUUGGUGUCAUGGAAAGAAGCUAAAGAGGAAGGCCACUGACUGACCAGAUUUACAAAGCAGUGCCUGGCCAUACUUAGCAGAGGUGUUUUAGAAAGAUCGAUGACAGCUAUGAGAAGAAUGGAUUUCUAGAAAAGCAAGACAAGAUAACAGAAGAGGAUUUGAGGGACCAUAACCUGUUUUUAUGGUGUCUGGUCUGCACUGGACAAUUCAAGGGAAGCCAGCCUAAGACAUAAACCGAGAAAGAGAGGGUAGAGGAAAAUCAGAGUCAUUCAUGGACAGAGGAGAAACUUUCAAGGAGAGGUAAGCACAGUUAUAUGCCAAGUGAACAAAGCCAGUAAGAAGGGCAAGUUGAAAAUCUGUCUGAGAAGAGAGAGAAUUCAGUGGGAGAUUUUCAUAAGGCAACUGGGAGAGGACGGGACGCUGGAAGAAUGAACCUCAGGAGAAAUACCUCUUCCAUUUAGACAAGAGGAAAAGAAGUAAGGCCAGGCCCUGUUCCCACUCCUGGGGCCAAAGGAAGAAAGGCAUAUUCACAGCUUCCAGCCUGCUCUUCUCCAAGCCCCGAGACAAGAUAGGCUGACCCACCACGGGCUAUCCCAUUGCCACCACCCUACUUCUCACCGACAGCUUUCUGGUCAUCAACUCCUGGAAUGGAAAAUCCAGAAGGGGCAAACACAUCCUCUAGCCCCCACCAAAUAAAUUAGUGUCUGCCGCUGAUUUCCUUUUUGGAGAUACCUAGAAAUAAAUACAGUCUAUCCAGAC